rnacentral:rRNA from 1 species
UACGUAGGGUGCAAGCGUUAAUCGGAAUUACUGGGCGUAAAGCGUGCGCAGGCGGUUAUGUAAGACAGAUGUGAAAUGCCCGGGCUUAACCUGGGAACUGCAUUUGUGACCGCAUGGCUAGAGUUUGGCAGAGGGGGGUAGAAUUCCACGUGUAGCAGUGAAAUGCGUAGAUAUGUGGAGGAAUACCGGUGGCGAAGGCGGCAUCCUGGACCGACAUUGACGCUGAGGAGCGAAAGCUAGGGGAGCAAACGGG